rnacentral:rRNA from 1 species
GAGAACUUUCCAGAGAUGGAUUGGUGCCUUCGGGAACUCAGACACAGGUGCUGCAUGGCUGUCGUCAGCUCGUGUCGUGAGAUGUUGGGUUAAGUCCCGUAACGAGCGCAACCCUUGUCCUUAGUUACCAGCACCUCUGGUGGGCACUCUAAGGAGACUGCCGGUGACAAACCGGAGGAAGGUGGGGAUGACGUCAAGUCAUCAUUGCCCUUACGGCCAGGGCUACACACGUGCUACAAUGGUCGGUACAAAGGGUUGCCAAGCCGCGAGGUGGAGCUAAUCCCAUAAAUCCGAUCGUAGUCCGGAUCGCAGUCUGCAACUCGGCUGUGU